rnacentral:rRNA from 1 species
AGAACAACAGGGNAUUACCUCAGUAACGGCGAGUGAAGCGGUAACAGCUCAAAUUUGAAAUCUGGCCUCACGGUCCGAGUUGUAAUUUGUAGAGGAUGCUUCGAGCAUGGUCUGGCCUAAGUUCCUUGGAACAGGACGUCAUAGAGGGUGAGAAUCCCGUAUGCGGCCAGGUGCCUACGCUCAUGUGAAGCUCCUUCGACGAGUCGAGUUGUUUGGGAAUGCAGCUCAAAAUGGGUGGUAAAUUUCAUCUAAAGCUAAAUAUUGGCCAGAGACCGAUAGCGCACAAGUAGAGUGAUCGAAAGAUGAAAAGCACUUUGGAAAGAGAGUUAAACAGUACGUGAAAUUGUUGAAAGGGAAGCGCUUGCAACCAGACUUGCGCGCAGCCGGUCAUCCGGUGUUCUCACCGGUGCACUCGGCCGUGCUCAGGCCAGCAUCGGUUUUGGCGGCUGGAUAAAGGCCCUAGGAAUGUAGCUCCUCUCGGGGAGUGUUAUAGCCUAGGGUGCAAUGCAGCCUGCUGGGACCGAGGACCGCGCUUCGGCUAGGAUGCUGGCGUAAUGGUUGUAAGCGGCCCGUCUUGAGACACGGACCAAGGAGUCUAACAUCUAUGCGAGUGUUUGGGUGUCAAACCCAUACGCGUAAUGAAAGUGAACGGAGGUGAGAACCCUUAAGGGUGCAUCAUCGACCGGUCCUGAAGUUUACGGAAGGAUCUGAGUAAGAGCAUAGCUGUUGGGACCCGAAAGAUGGUGAACUAUGCCUGAAUAGGGUGAAGCCAGAGGAAACUCUGGUGGAGGCUCGCAGCGGUUCUGACGUGCAAAUCGAUCGUCAAAUUUGGGUAUAGGGGCGAAAGACUAAUCGAACCAUCUAGUAGCUGGUUCCUGCCGAAGUUUCCCUCAGGAUAGCAGUGUUGAAUUCAGUUUUAUGA